CCUACGGGAGGCAGCAGUGAGGAAUAUUGGUCAAUGGACGAGAGUCUGAACCAGCCAAGUAGCGUGAAGGAUGACUGCCCUAUGGGUUGUAAACUUCUUUUAUAUGGGAAUAAAAUGUUCCACGUGUGGGAUUUUGUAUGUACCAUAUGAAUAAGGAUCGGCUAACUCCGUGCCAGCAGCCGCGGUAAUACGGAGGAUCCGAGCGUUAUCCGGAUUUAUUGGGUUUAAGGGGAUCGUAGGUGGAUUGUUAAGUCAGUUGUGAAAGUUUGCGGCUCAACCGUAAAAUUGCAGUUGAAACUGGCAGUCUUGAGUACAGUAGAGGUGGGCGGAAUUCGUGGUGUAGCGGUGAAAUGCUUAGAUAUCACGAAGAACUCCGAUUGCGAAGGCAGUUCACUGGACUGCAACUGACACUGAGGCUCGAAAGUGUGGGUAUCAAACAGGAUUAGAUACCCCAGUAGUC
rnacentral:rRNA from 1 species